GAUCAGCUUGUACAGUAUCAGUUAGUUGGUGGGGUAAUGGCUUACCAAGACUAUGACGCUUAACUGGUUUGAGAGGAUGAUCAGUCACACUGGAACUGAGACACGGUCCAGACUCCUACGGGAGGCAGCAGUGGGGAAUAUUGCACAAUGGACGAAAGUCUGAUGCAGCAACGCCGCGUGGAGGAUGACACAUUUCGGUGCGUAAACUCCUUUUAUAUGAGAAGAUAAUGACGGUAUCAUAUGAAUAAGCACCGGCUAACUCCGUGCCAGCAGCCGCGGUAAUACGGGGGGUGCAAGCGUUACUCGGAAUCACUGGGCGUAAAGAGCAUGUAGGCGGAUUGAUAAGUUUGAAGUGAAAUCCUAUAGCUUAACUAUAGAACUGCUUUGAAAACUGUUAAUCUAGAAUGUGGGAGAGGUAGAUGGAAUUUCUGGUGUAGGGGUAAAAUCCGUAGAGAUCAGAAGGAAUACCGAUUGCGAAGGCGAUCUACUGGAACACUAUUGACGCUGAGAUGCGAAAGCGUGGGGAGCAAACGGGAUUAGAUACCCCGGUAGUCCACGCCCUAAACGAUGCACACUAGUUGUUGUGAGGCUAGACCUUGCAGUAAUGCAGUUAACACAUUAAGUGUG
rnacentral:rRNA from 1 species